UAUACAUCCCUUGAGUUAGAUGAGGGCUUGGGUUAAAUACACGUGCAAGUACAUUCCCAUUAGUAGAUCAACUACACUUCAAGAAAAACAAGUUCAGCACAAAUCACAAGGGGACUUUGUUUCGUGUGUGCUUAUGCAAACAGCAGUAAGAGGAAGAUGUGUUUGAAACACUGACAACAGCACUCAUACCUUGACGGGGGCUCUUUGAUUUUUGUCAUCAAAGGGCAAGUCAAACAUCUGGCUCUGUGCAACACAUUCCCUACUAGUGCUGGCCUUGGACACACAAAGAUCAUUAGAAGGCAACACCCAGGGUGGCAUUGGGAAUGACAGGAACUGGUUGUCAUCAGCCUCAGAGGACCCAAAGGCUGGCAGGAGUGAGGAACAGCCACUGGAACUACAGGCAAGGAAAGAAGCCCAGAGGCAGGAUGCAGCAGCAGAUGCCAGACUAGAUGGGGAGGUGGCUUCAACGAUCCAUGACAUAGUCACAGCUCAGGUGCCAGGUAAUCCAUAAGUGGAAAGUUUCUCUCAAGACUACUUAUUCCUUCAGAAUUUUCAAGGCAUUUUCAUGGCUCCACAAUUUAUUUUCGAAGUCUAAAAUUUCCUGACUUAAAAAAAUAAUAUUUUUUUUUAAAAAAACCAUUUACUCUCAGCACCAGUCUGCUUGUUUUCAGUGCUGUUGAAGUGAAAGAUUUACACAAUGCCUUUCUAAAAGGAGUUGUGCUCCCCCUUUUUUGAUUUGCAA
rnacentral:lncRNA from 1 species